AUUGAACGCUGGCGGAAUGCUUUACACAUGCAAGUCGAGCGGCAGCGCGGGGCAACCCUGGCGGCGAGCGGCGAACGGGUGAGUAACAUAUCGGAACGUACCCAGUCGUGGGGGAUAACUAUCCGAAAGGAUAGCUAAUACCGCAUACGACCUGAGGGUGAAAGCGGGGGACCCGUAAGGCCUCGCGCGAUUGGAGCGGCCGAUAUCGGAUUAGCUAGUAGGUGGGGUAAAGGCCCACCAAGGCGACGAUCUGUAGCUGGUCUGAGAGGACGACCAGCCACACUGGGACUGAGACACGGCCCAGACUCCUACGGGAGGCAGCAGUGGGGAACUUUGGACAAUGGGCGCAAGCCUGAUCCAGCAAUGCCGCGUGCCAGG
rnacentral:rRNA from 1 species